rnacentral:rRNA from 1 species
UACAGAGGGUGCGAGCGUUAAUCGGAAUUACUGGGUCGUAAAGCGUGACGCAGGCGUCUUGCAAGACAGAUGUGAAAAUCCCCGGGCAUCAAGCCUGGGAAACCUGGACAUUUGUGACUGCAUCGCUGGAGUGCGGCAGAGGGGGAUGGAAUUCCGCGUGUAGCAGUGAAAAUGCGUAGAUAUGCGGAGGAACACCGAUGGCGAAGCAAUCCCCUGGGCCUGCACUGACGCUCAUGCACGAAAGCGGUGGGGAGCAA